GAUGAACGCUGGCGGUAUGCUUAACACAUGCAAGUCGAACGGUCUCUUCGGAGAUAGUGGCGGACGGGUGAGUAACGCGUGAGAAUCUAGCUCUAGGUUUGGGACAACCACUGGAAACGGUGGCUAAUACCGGAUAUGCCGAAAGGUGAAAGGUUAACUGCCUGGAGAUGAGCUCGCGUCUGAUUAGCUAGUUGGUAGGGUAAAAGCUUACCAAGGCGACGAUCAGUAGCUGGUCUGAGAGGACGAUCAGCCACACUGGGACUGAGACAC
rnacentral:rRNA from 4 species